GCCAGGUGUGGUGGCGUGCGCCUGUAAUCCCAGCUACUUUGGGAGGCCGAGGCGGGUGGAUCACCUGAGGUCAGGAGUUUGAGACCAGCCUGGCCAACAUGGUGAAACCCUGUCUCUA
rfam:Homo sapiens chromosome 2, GRCh38 reference primary assembly.